rnacentral:rRNA from 1 species
AACAGGAUUAGAUACCCUGGUAGUCCACGCCCUAAACGAUGUCAACUGGUUGUUGGGAGGGUUUCUUCUCAGUAACGUAGCUAACGCGUGAAGUUGACCGCCUGGGGAGUACGGCCGCAAGGUUGAAACUCAAAGGAAUUGACGGGGACCCGCACAAGCGGUGGAUGAUGUGGUUUAAUUCGAUGCAACGCGAAAAACCUUACCUACCCUUGACAUGCCAGGAAUCUUGCAGAGAUGUGAGAGUGCUCGAAAGAGAACCUGGACACAGGUGCUGCAUGGCCGUCGUCAGCUCGUGUCGUGAGAUGUUGGGUUAAGUCCCGCAACGAGCGCAACCCUUGUCAUUAGUUGCUACGAAAGGGCACUCUAAUGAGACUGCCGGUGACAAACCGGAGGAAGGUGGGGAUGACGUCAGGUCAUCAUGGCCCUUAUGGGUAGGGCUACACACGUCAUACAAUGGCCGGGACAGAGGGCUGCCAACCCGCGAGGGGGAGCUAAUCCCAGAAACCCGGUCGUAGUCCGGAUCGCAGUCUGCAACUCGACUGCGUGAAGUCGGAAUCGCUAGUAAUCGCGGAUCAGCUUGCCGCGGUGAAUACGUUCCCGGGUCUUGUACACACCGCCCGUCACACCAUGGGAGCGGGUUCUGCCAGAAGUAGUUAGCCUAACCGCAAGGAGGGCGAUUACCACGGCAGGGUUCGUGACUGGGGUGAAGUCGUAACAAGGUAACC